GAUGAACGCUGGCGGCGUGCUUAACACAUGCAAGUCGAACGAAGCACUUUAUUUGAUUUCCUUCGGGACUGAUUAUUUUGUGACUGAGUGGCGGACGGGUGAGUAACGCGUGGGUAACCUGCCUUGUACAGGGGGAUAACAGUUGGAAACGGCUGCUAAUACCGCAUAAGCGCACAGCAUCGCAUGAUGCAGUGUGAAAAACUCCGGUGGUAUAAGAUGGACCCGCGUUGGAUUAGCUAGUUGGUGAGGUAACGGCCCACCAAGGCGACGAUCCAUAGCCGACCUGAGAGGGUGACCGGCCACAUUGGGACUGAGACACGGCCCAAACUCCUACGGGAGGCAGCAGUGGUGAAUAUUGCACAAUGGGCGAAAGCCUGAUGCAGCGACGCCGCGUGAGCGAAGAAGUAUUUCGGUAUGUAAAGCUCUAUCAGCAGGGAAGAUAAUGACGGUACCUGACUAAGAAGCACCGGCUAAAUACGUG
rnacentral:rRNA from 1 species